rnacentral:lncRNA from 1 species
GAGUGUCAAAUGGAAGGAACAGUGGGCUCAGAUAAUGGUUUCCUGCUGCUCAAGGGAGCAGCUGCAGAGACGCAGAGUCUGCUCACAGCAACACAGGGAUGCUGUCUCAGGGAGUGAUGAGAUUGUACCUUUCAUCACAGGAGGGCAGCACAUUUCCUGAACAUGGGCUCCUGCUUCUCACUGAGUUCCUGAGACAGAUGUCACCAUCAGAGAAAUGCCAGGAAGGAACUGGAAUGCGUCACCCACCAAGUUUAGUGGCAGCCCUAUUGCCCAGGGACAAUGCCCACCACUCAGCCAAGAACACCUGAAGAUCCUAGUGACAGUCAUCCAGUUUGGUCCCUGACUGGUAGCAGGGAGGCUCAAGAUGACAGAAGCAGAAAAGAAGGCAGUGACUUUCCAUGGAGUGUCUAAAAUGCAUGUGACAUGCAUAAAAGCUGGGUUUGGAUGAGUGUGCUGAAAGAUGCAGAGCAUCACACCUGGCCAGAAUAAAUCUCUAUUUACUAUGGACUGGAAAGGACCAAAAGCGCUGUUCAUUCUGGAAG